UACGUAGGUCCCGAGCGUUGUCCGGAUUUAUUGGGCGUAAAGCGAGCGCAGGUGGUUUAAUAAGUCUGAUGUAAAAGGCAGUGGCUCAACCAUUGUGUGCAUUGGAAACUGUUAGACUUGAGUGCAGUAGAGGAGAGUGGAAUUCCAUGUGUAGCGGUGAAAUGCGUAGAUAUAUGGAGGAACACCGGUGGCGAAAGCGGCUCUCUGGACUGUAACUGACACUGAGAUGCGAAAGCGUGGGGAGCGAACGGG
rnacentral:rRNA from 1 species